rnacentral:rRNA from 1 species
CCUACGGGAGGCAGCAGUGGGGAAUAUUGCACAAUGGGGGCAACCCUGAUGCAGCAACGCCGCGUGAGUGAAGAAGUGUUUCGGUAUGUAAAGCUCUAUCAGCAGGGAAGAAAGUGACGGUACCUGAUUAAGAAGCCCCGGCUAACUACGUGCCAGCAGCCGCCGUAAUACGUAGGGGGCAAGCGUUAUCCGGAUUGACUGGGGGGAAAGGGAGCGUAGGUGGCGGCGCAAGGCUGAAGUGAAAGGCCGGGGCUUAACCGCGGAACUGCUUUGGAAACUGUGCAGCUAGAGUGCAGGAGAGGUAAGUGGAAUUCCUAGUGUAGCGGUGGAAUGCGGAGAUAUUAGGAGGAACACCAGUGGCGAAGGCGGCUGACUGGACUGUAACUGACGUUGAGGCUCGAAAGCGUGGGUAGCAAACAGGAUUAGAUACCCGUGUAGUC